UACGGUCAUAUUACUUUGAAACACCGGAUGUCCUAUGGUCACCGUAGUUAAGCAACGCCGGGCAAGGUCAGCACCUAGAUGGGUGCCGUCUUGGGAAUACUAGGUGCUGCAAG